ensembl:lncRNA
AGCACAUGCUGCCUGCUGACACUAUGGAAGUCUGUGGUGACAGUCCCUGAAAUUCCUGUAUCAGUCAAGAGUGAUGAUGAGGUAGUUAGAUGGUAACUGUACUUGAGACUUGUAAUGAACAAACUGCAAGAAAAAUCAGUGAUUCAAAGCAGAAGACAAGACUCUCUACAGCUGAGGUUCCUCUUUCUACUCUCGAGCCCCAAGGCAGUAUCAUAAGAGACAGUAACAUGGUGGCUUCUGAGUGAGUUUUGUGUAUCUGAAUUGCAAAGUGAAGAUCCUAAAGAAGCAGUGGAGUGGAAGGACCGUUGUUGGGAUGGGAUGAUGAGAGAGCUGUCUACAGGACUGACUCACUAAUGCGCGCAUGGACUUUACCAGAAGUUUCACCUCUCAAAUACUGUAAUAGUAGGUUGUAUUUGGGGGGCAGCUCAUGCAAGAACAAGGUUUAUGGGUGCUGGACUAAUGAAGAAAGGGAGAAAAAGGGAAAUCCAAACUCCUAGCCUGGAAGACAGUCUGAACAACCAGUACAAUAGGAAGGCACAAUCCAGAAAGACACGGUGGCAGCACAGUCCGUCUAAUUUUCAAUGGAUGUAAAUAAUCCCUGUUACAGGAAGUGUGGAGUCUUCCAGAUGUUUCAUCUCUAGUUUUCUCCAGAGGUAUUCUUCAAAGACCUGGAAACUUGAGGCUGAAUCUGCAGGGUGAAGUGAGAUCCCUCCUGGUGGUUUGCCUAGGGAAUGACGUGCCCCUGGCAGAAGCGAAGGUGAAGGUAUGUACCUAGAUUUCAUCUGGAGCAGACCAGGUUCCUCAUAUGGAUCAGUGAUGGGAGGCAUGCCUGGAUCCUACAGUGUGAAUGCCACUCUGAGCAGCUUGAGAAACACUGACUCUCAGUCCUUCUUUGUGGCUGAUGUAGCAAUUGCUUCUGUGCCUGUCAAUCAGUCCCUCACAUGCUUGUGACUUCUCAGAAAAGGCAUCUUCUCUGGUAUUCUUGAUGCACAGAAGAAAAUAAGAAGAAAAUAAAAAAUCCAUUGAAACUAGCAAGUAUAUACUUUUAAUGACAUGGCAGGAUACCAGGAUCUGAAAUACCAUUUUUCUUCAUCAAGAUCCCAGACUGGUUGAAAAAGUGAAUAAUUUAAUAAUUUAGAAUGUGAGUGAUUUUUUUGUGAGUGAUUUUUUUUGUGUGAUUUUGAAUGUGAGUGAACUUUUUUGACAUUCUAGCUUUGUCUAAUAUUGAAAGUAAAUUAGGGAAAAACUCCAAUUGACUUCAAUUAGGCCAAUGCUGAUCAGUUUUGAAAAUCUCAUGUGAAGGUCCCUGGGGCAGCGACUCUGUCAUGCUCUGACUCCAUGCCUUCCCAGCAUUGCUCUGACAUUGCUUGAAUGCAUUCAGUGUUGUGCAAUGUGUUUUUACAUAUCUUUGGCAGUCUCUCUUUUCAUUAAGUCUGGAAAUCAGGGGCAGAGGAGGCAGAUACGCAGUUGUUCAAGGCUGGGACUAUGCUUCCUUUUGUCCUGCUCAUUAACUUCAAUUUAGGCAGUUAAGUGCUGCUAUAACCAACCAAACAAACUCUUAAGACUAGUUUCGUAGCACAUUUAAAUUAACAAAUAAACCCUUCCUGGUAAACGAGGGCAGUCUCCACAUAAAACAGAAUAUAUAAAGGAGCAGGAGGUACUGCUGCAGCAUCAGCAGGACUUAGACACCCCCUCCAGCUCAUACAGUCCUAGGGAGCUCAGAGGUAGUCACGAGGACUUUGCAAGUUUUUACAGACAACUGCAGGACUUUAAAGUCAAGUGAAGGUUUCCCACUCCCACUGAGCUGCAGAAGCUAAAUAUAUCCUUCCUGUUUACUCUGUGUGAUUUUAGACUAAGCUCCAGUCUAUGAAACAAAAUGCAUCUCUGGCGUCCAAGCCCAAGAAGGAGCAGCACAGCUCUGGUUAGUAAUACAGCGUCGUCUGACCAUCCACCUCUGCCAAAGCUGGCAACAAAACCCGCUUCAAGCAAGUUCAGGGGACAGCUGGUGAUAUCUGGAUCAAAUCAGUUCUGUGGUUUAGCUCAGACCUAAGGGAUAAGGCAUAUGCUAAUGGUCUUUCUCUCCUUUUUAGGUAAGCAUUUCCAUUUGUAAUAAGCCACCAAUCUUGGAGGCUGCAGUCAGGAUUCAGAGAGAGAACCCACGGAGUGCCUAGGACAUAUUUGGCCUUGACAAAGUUUUACUUUCCAGCUUCUCCAUUUGUAGUGGAUUGACAGCUGGUUUCAAAUGUCUCAUAUUUAACUUUUCUGUUUUUCUUAAUCUGUGGAUUCUUUUCUGGAACUUCCUGUGCAUAGCAAAAACCUGUCGUGGUCCAGUGAGACCCUCUGCCUCUCACAGUGCAGAAUCAGACCCAGUAAUCAUGGCUGCUAUGCUUUAUUCCCUACCCAAAACAGGCAUCUUUUGAGAGGAAGGGUGACAGGAUGAUGAUUUCUUUUUGUAAGCAGAUGCGAGGAACAUGAAAAAAAAUUUUUAAUAGCCAAUCCAAAAAUGACUAGAGGCACUAUUUUGCAAUACAGAGUGUACGACCUAGUAAAUCCAAACCUCUCUAAUGUAACAUAGCUAUUCUUCCCUACCUCUCUUUUUGUCUGAAAAAAAAAAGGUCAAUUUUGUAUUUAAGAAACACUAUCAAAGAUUUAAAGAUUGUACCAUUGGCCAUAGUUCAAACAAUACAGGCAGGAAAGAAUGUACAGCUGUCAAGUGUAAACAGAAAUGGGUACAGCUCAGAAGUGCUUCAGACAAAUCACU